UGCACUGGAGUCCAGCAGCUCGCUCUUACUCUCUGAAGUUUUUUACUUGGAAGAUUUCAUGAAGGGAAGACAGCAGGAAAAGCAGGAUUAGCGUGAUGCCAUAUGGCGUGGAACAGCCCCUUGGCCAUUUUGGGUCAGCUGUCCUGAUCGUAUCCAUUCGCUGCCCUUGCUGGCAGGGCAGUAUGAGAAGCUGAAAAGUCCCUAACUUGGUGUAAGGACAGCUCAGCAACAAUUAAAAUAAAUACUGCCGUUUCUCCGGAAUGAACCAAAUUUUGCAUUCCCUUGGGACCCUCGAUAUCUGUUCCUGACAGCCCUGUG